rnacentral:rRNA from 1 species
GACGAACGCUGGCGGCGUGCUUAACACAUGCAAGUCGAACGAAGAGCGAUGGAAGCUUGCUUCUAUCAAUCUUAGUGGCGAACGGGUGAGUAACGCGUAAUCAACCUGCCCUUCAGAGGGGGACAACAGUUGGAAACGACUGCUAAUACCGCAUACGAUCUGACCUCGGCAUCGAGGAUGGAUGAAAGGUGGCCUCUAUUUAUAAGCUAUCACUGAAGGAGGGGAUUGCGUCUGAUUAGCUAGUUGGAGGGGUAACGGCCCACCAAGGCGAUGAUCAGUAGCCGGUCUGAGAGGAUGAACGGCCACAUUGGGACUGAGACACGGCCCAGGCUCCUACGGGAGGCAGCAGUGGGGAAUCUUCCGCGAUGGACGAAAGUCUGACGGAGCAACGCCGCGUGAGUGAUGACGGCCUUCGGGUUGUAAAGCUCUGUUAAUCGGGACGAGAGGCCUUCUUGCGAAUAGUUAGAAGGA